rnacentral:ncRNA from 12 species
GGCCGCGUGGCCUAAUGGAUAAGGCAUCGGACUUCGGAUCCGAAGAUUGCGGGUUCGAGUCCCGUCGCGGUCG